rnacentral:rRNA from 1 species
CAAAGCAAACAGAUAUAGCAUUUGUGCGUUUGAAUACUACAGCAUGGAAUAACAAAAUUGAACAAGUCAGAAUUUUUUUGUUCUUUUUUCUUAUUUUGGCUUAGUUACGAUUAAUAGGAGUAGCUUGGGGGCAUUUGUAUUCAGAUGUCAGAGGUGAAAUUCUUAGAUUUUCUGGAGACAAACAACUGCGAAAGCAUUUGCCUAAAAUACUUCCAUUAAUCAAGAACGAAAGUUAAGGGAGUGAAGACGAUCAGAUACCGUCGUAAUCUUAACCAUAAACUAUGCCGACUAGGCUUUGGAUGAAAGAUUUUAAAAUAAGAGUUUUUCUUUUCUCUCCGGAGAUUAGAACUCUUAGAUUGCUUCCUUCAGUGCCUUAUGAGAAAUCAAAGUCUUUGGGUUCUGGGGCGAGUAUUCGCGCAAGCGAGAAAGUUAAAAGAAUUGACGGAAGGGCACCACCAGGCGUGGAGCUUGCGGCUUAAUUUGACUCAACACGGGAAAACUCACUAGUUUAAGACAAGAGUAGGAUUGACAGAUUAAUAGCUCUUUCUUGAUUUCUUGGAUGGUGAUGCAUGGCCGUUUUUAGUUCGUGAAUAUGAUUUGUCUGGUUAAUUCCGAUACGAACGAGAUCUUAACCUGCUAAUUAGCGGCAA